AGUGGACGUGCCGGAGUGGUUAUUGGGCAUGACUAGAAAUCAUGUGGACUAUGCCCACGCCCACACAGGUUUGAAUCCAGCUGUUCAUGU